AGCGAACGCUGGCGGCAGGCCUAACACAUGCAAGUCGAACGGACCCUUCGGGGUUAGUGGCGGACGGGUGAGUAACACGUGGGAACGUGCCUUUAGGUUCGGAAUAGCUCCUGGAAACGGGUGGUAAUGCCGAAUGUGCCCUUCGGGGGAAAGAUUUAUCGCCUUUAGAGCGGCCCGCGUCUGAUUAGCUAGUUGGUGAGGUAAUGGCUCACCAAGGCGACGAUCAGUAGCUGGUCUGAGAGGAUGAUCAGCCACCUUGGGACUGAGACACGGCCCAAACUCCUACGGGAGGCAGCAGUGGGGAAUCUUGCGCAAUGGGCGAAAGCCUGACGCAGCCAUGCCGCGUGAAUGAUGAAGGUCUUAGGAUUGUAAAAUUCUUUCACCGGGGACGAUAAUGACGGUACCCGGAGAAGAAGCCCCGGCUAACUUCGUGCCAGCCGCCGCCGUAAUAC
rnacentral:rRNA from 1 species